GUGGGACUCUUCAAACUCUCCUAUUAAUAAUUUUUAGUUGCAGCUAUUCUUUCAGUUCAAUGGGAAAUGACAUCUAUAAAAGUAAAUUUGCUUCAUUUAUUUCCACUGACUAGUAUCAAAGAUGAAAACCAAGCUGUAUGAAGCAAGGAAAGAAAGCAAGUAUUCGAAAUGCUUGGAUACAGAUAAGUAACUAACAUACACACAUUUACAGUCUUAUUGUAUACAAGUUGAUUACAAUUCGUUCUAACUUUUUCUGACAGGUUCUAUGACCACAAACUAUAAUCGAAAGGGGUCAGCGAUACUGCAACAAAAUAUUUAUCAGAGAUAGGGAACACUCGUAAUGGGUUCUUCAGGAUACAUGAAUCUAGAGUGUACAGCAUGAUACUUCAAGACAUGUAUUUGUCGUCCGACAAUUGUAUUAAUUGAAAAUCACCAUAUAUACGUAAAGGAAAGAAAGU